rnacentral:rRNA from 1 species
UACGGAGGGUGCAAGCGUUAUCCGGAUUUACUGGGUUUAAAGGGUGCGCAGGCGGAUAUGUAAGUCAGUGGUGAAAUCUCCGGGCUUAACCCGGAAACUGCCGUUGAUACUAUAUAUCUUGAAUGCCGUGGAGGUAAGCGGAAUAUGUCAUGUAGCGGUGAAAUGCUUAGAUAUGACAUAGAACACCUAUUGCGAAGGCAGCUUACUACACGGAGAUUGACGCUCAUGCACGAAAGCGUGGGGAUCAAACAGU